GGCAUGGUGGUGUAGUGGUUAGCACUAUCACCUCAUGGAAAGAAGGUUGUGGGUUUGAAUCCAGCCUGGGGCC